rnacentral:rRNA from 1 species
AGUGAACGCUGGCGGUAGGCCUAACACAUGCAAGUCGAACGGCAGCACAGUAAGAGCUUGCUCUUACGGGUGGCGAGUGGCGGACGGGUGAGGAAUACAUCGGAAUCUACUUUUUCGUGGGGGAUAACGUAGGGAAACUUACGCUAAUACCGCAUACGACCUACGGGUGAAAGCAGGGGAUCUUCGGACCUUGCGCGAUUGAAUGAGCCGAUGUCGGAUUAGCUAGUUGGCGGGGUAAAGGCCCACCAAGGCGACGAUCCGUAGCUGGUCUGAGAGGAUGAUCAGCCACACUGGAACUGAGACACGGUCCAGACUCCUACGGGAGGCAGCAGUGGGGAAUAUUGGACGAUGGGCGCAAGCCUGAUCCAGCCAUACCGCGUGGGUGAAGAAGGCCUUCGGGUUGUAAAGCCCUUUUGUUGGGAAAGAAAAGCAGCAGGUUAAGACCCCGCUGUUCUGACGGUACCCAAAGAAGAAGCACCGGCUAACUUCGU